CAUGAACUAAGUAUUAUGCUUUUUCUUCCUCAUAUAAAUAUGUAAUUGAAAUAAUUAAAGUUAGGCAGAAAGAAUCUGAUAAUUUUUUUUGUGGGGGAAUUAACUACUUGCUCUCCUGUGCUGCUUAUGGAAGACAUUUAAAAAUAACAUGAAACUGGUGUUAAUGACCACCUUACUUUCCCAGCUUAGAACAUUUUCCUCCAUAGGAGUUGGAUGUUAACAGCAGAGUCAGUAGUGGGUUAAUUAUUUUAUUUGGUUUAUUAGAUAUUAUUCUUAGGCUCAGAUUUUUGUCAUCCUUUUUCCCUUCACAGGGAAGGUUUUAACCCAAGAUCUAUAAUCCUGUGCCAUAGCGUCAGCCUCAGGAAACAGAUGCAACAGUUAAGCCACAGUCAUAGACAAGGGGCACAGGAGCUAGUUCGGUCUUGGGUUCAUCUGUGGAGGACCACCUGCUCUCAGGCAGCAAAGGGCAGCAGCCCUGCAGGGCUCUUCCACACCCUUAGAGCCCCUAAUUGUCCUCAGCUGGGCCUGCCUACUGCUAUUUAAGCUCCAGCUGAGGAGCAUCAUCUGUUAUUGCUUCUCCUGCUUGGCUGCUGGAGGAGUGGGGCUUCCUCUUCGAGGCUGACUUCAUCUUUGAGGCUGGCUUCAUGGCCACUGUCCUGCAUCACACUGUGUGCUGGACCAAUACGUGUAUGAGGACAGGAUGAUCGUCUUCCUGGUGGAAUGCAGAAGUGAAAUACUGCAGGAGGUAAGAGGCCCUUUUUUGGUUUUUUUGACUGUGGAUUUUUUUCUUUCUUGCUGAUGAAAAGCUUUUACUGAGGUGGGAUAACCUGGCUGCUGUUGUCACAGGGCUUUGCCUUGUCAACUUGUGGGCAAUUUGCUUUAGUGAAACUGUUCUUCUGGCCUCAAGUGUGUUAAACUGACAAGAUAAUGUAAAUUAGCCUUAAUUUGUCCUUUCUGGUGGCCCAGGAAGCAAAUUUUCCUUUUGGCAAUUCCUGCA
rnacentral:lncRNA from 1 species